GGAGGACUGUUCCUCCUCCUGCCUUCAGACCUGGCACUGGGACUGUGGGUCAUCGGAGAUUGACACUGAUUUCCUUCACUCAGAGAAUAUCCGGAUAAAGGAUUAUCUGUGUGUGCUCUGGAAUUUGCGGAAUCAGACACUU